rnacentral:rRNA from 1 species
GAUGAACGCUGGCGGCGUGCCUAAUACAUGCAAGUAGAACGCUGAAGGAGGAGCUUGCUCUUCUGGAUGAGUUGCGAACGGGUGAGUAACGCGUAGGUAACCUGCCUGGUAGCGGGGGAUAACUAUUGGAAACGAUAGCUAAUACCGCAUGACAACAGUUAUUGCAUGAUAACUGUUUAAAAGGGGCAACUGCUCCACUACCAGAUGGACCUGCGUUGUAUUAGCUAGUUGGUGAGGUAACGGCUCACCAAGGCGAGGAUACAUAGCCGACAUGAGAGGGUGAUCGGCCACCCUGGGACGGUGACAGGGCCCAGACGCCUACGGGAGGGAGCAGGAGGGAAACGGCGGCAAUGGACGGAAGUCUGACCGAGCAACGCCGCGGGAGUGAAGAAGGUUUUCGGAUCGUAAAGGUCUGUUGUAAGGGAAGAACGAGUGUGAGAGUGGAAAGUUCACACUGUGACGGUAGCUUACCAGAAAGCGACGGCUAACUACGUG